GCGCCAGUAGUCUAGCCUGGUAGGACACGAGAAAAAUUUCGUGAACUUCACAAGUUUAGGAUACAGCUCGGUACUCGGGUUCAAAUCCCGACUGGCGCA
rnacentral:tRNA from 1 species